GAUGAAGAACGUAGCGAAAUGCGAUAAGUAAUGUGAAUUGCAGAAUUCAGUGAAUCAUCGAAUCUUUGAACGCACAUUGCGCCCCCCAGUAUUCUGGCGGGCAUGCCUGUUCGAGCGUCAUUUCAACCAUCAAGCCCUGCUUGUGUCGGGGUCCUGCGGCUGCCCGCAGGCCCUGAAAACCAGUGGCGGGCUCGCUAGUCACACCGAGCGCAGUAGCACAUCUCGCUCAGGGCGUGCGGCGGGCUCCAGCCGUUAAAGCACCCACCUUUCGCAAGGUUGACCUCGGAUCAGGUAGGAAUACCCGCUGAACUUAAGCAUAUCAAUAAGCGGAGGA
rnacentral:misc_RNA from 1 species